rnacentral:rRNA from 11 species
GAGUUUGAUCCUGGCUCAGAUUGAACGCUGGCGGCAGGCCUAACACAUGCAAGUCGAGCGGAUGACGGGAGCUUGCUCCUUGAUUCAGCGGCGGACGGGUGAGUAAUGCCUAGGAAUCUGCCUGGUAGUGGGGGACAACGUUUCGAAAGGAACGCUAAUACCGCAUACGUCCUACGGGAGAAAGCAGGGGACCUUCGGGCCUUGCGCUAUCAGAUGAGCCUAGGUCGGAUUAGCUAGUUGGUGGGGUAAUGGCUCACCAAGGCGACGAUCCGUAACUGGUCUGAGAGGAUGAUCAGUCACACUGGAACUGAGACACGGUCCAGACUCCUACGGGAGGCAGCAGUGGGGAAUAUUGGACAAUGGGCGAAAGCCUGAUCCAGCCAUGCCGCGUGUGUGAAGAAGGUCUUCGGAUUGUAAAGCACUUUAAGUUGGGAGGAAGGGCAGUAAGUUAAUACCUUGCUGUUUUGACGUUACCGACAGAAUAAGCACCGGCUAACUCUGUGCCAGCAGCCG